rnacentral:rRNA from 1 species
GACGAACGCUGGCGGCGUGCUUAACACAUGCAAGUCGAACGGAAAGGCCCUGCUUUUGUGGGGUGCUCGAGUGGCGAACGGGUGAGUAACACGUGAGUAACCUUCCCUUGACUUUGGGAUAACUUCAGGAAACUGGGGCUAAUACCGGAUAGGAGCUCCUGCUGCAUGGUGGGGGUUGGAAAGUUUCGGCGGUUGGGGAUGGACUCGCGGCUUAUCAGCUUGUUGGUGGGGUAGUGGCUUACCAAGGCUUUGACGGGUAGCCGGCCUGAGAGGGUGACCGGCCACAUUGGGACUGAGAUAAGGCCCAGACUCCUACGGGCGGCAGCAGUGGGGAAUAUUGCACCAUGGGCGGAAGCCUGAUGCAGCAACGCCGCGUGAGGGAUGACGGCCUUCGGGUUGUAAACCGCUUUCGCCUGUGACGAAGCGUGAGUGACGGUAAUGGGUAAAGAAGCACCGGCUAACUACGUG